CCCUUAGAUGUUCUGGGCCGCACGCGCGCUACACUGACGAAUGCAACGAGCUUAUAACCUUGGCCGAAAGGUCUGGGUAAUCUCCAAAUUUCGUCGUGAUGGGGAUAGAUUAUUGCAAUUAUUAAUCUUCAACGAGGAAUGCCUAGUAAGCGCAAGUCAUCAGCUUGCGUUGAUUACGUCCCUGCCCUUUGUACACACCGCCCGUCGCUCCUACCGAUUGAAUGGUCCGGUGAAGCGCUCGGACCGCGGCCUCUUGACGGUUCGCUGUCGAUUGGCUGUGAGAAGUUCGUUAAACCUUAUCAUUUAGAGGAAGGAGAAGUCGUAACA
rnacentral:rRNA from 1 species